rnacentral:ncRNA from 1 species
CCUCCGCUCUCCCCGCACAGGAGGGCGGAUAGAGGCCCGAGCGCUCUCUGCCCUGACUGCGCGACGGCCUCAGGUCGACCGGCCUCUGGGCGUGCGUGCGUCUCCGCCGCACGUGGGGCGCAUUCCGCCGCCGGGCCGGCCGAUGAAGCUCCGGGCUGCGGUGCCGGACAGGUUGAGGGUCCUGUCCCGGCGC